ensembl:lncRNA
AUGAAUUUUGAGAAAGUUAAUGAAGAAGAUAUGGAGUUUGAUGAUUGGAAUUUAGUAGGGAGUGGGAAAAGUCAAGAAAACAGGAAAAAAGGACGAAAUGAAGGGAAUCUGGUAGCCAGCCAAUCCAGUAAACGGGGAUUAGAAGGAAACAGUUCAGAUGAGGAUAAUAGGGCUGUUCGCAAAAAGAUUGUAAAAGAGGAAUUUAAAAUAAUUCUUACAUUUAGAAAGGAAGAUGAGCAUGUUAAUCUUAGUCCAAUGGCAUUGUCUAAAGAGUUGAAGAAAAAGUUAGGAGAAGUGGAUAUGGCUAAGAUUUUGAGAGACGGAAGUCUGCUGAUAAUUUGUAAAACAGAAGAACAAAAAAACAAAGCGUUAAAAAUUGACAAUAUGUGCAAGAAAAUAGUGAAUGAAAGAAAGAUUUUGGGUGAGAGAAAAAUGAAACAGGGAGUGAUAACAGGCAUUCCAAUCGAAGAAGAUCUAGAAAAACUCAGUCGAAGUAUUUCUGGAGGGGAAGUGAGUAGAAUAAAAAGGUUGCAAAAAACAAUGAAUGGGGAAAGGAUUGAUAGUUUGUCAGUUCUUUUGGAGUUUCAGGAUUCAGUGCUUCCGGAAAGAGUUAAAAUAGGAUAUAUGAGUUUCGUAGUGAGGCCAUAUAUUCCUCCCCCAUUCCGCUGUUAUAGAUGUCAGAGAUAUGGACAUAUAGCAGCGGUGUGCAAAGGAAAACAACGAUGUCCCAAGUGUGGAGGUGAGCAUAGAAUUGAAAACUGUGGAGAGGGUGUACAGGAUAAUUGCUGUAAUUGUGGUGGGCAACACAGGGUAACAUACAGUGGAUGUGAUGUAAGGAAGAGAGCAGUGGAAAUUGAAAAAGUGAAAGCGGUAAACAACAUAAGUUACUCAGAGGCAGUGAAGAAGGUUCAAGAGCAAAGGAGAAGUGAUGAUACUGUUAAACAUAUCAUGAGACAUGAGGUUGGUCAAGCAGAGGAAAACAAUACAAUGGAAAAUAACUUGAGACAAGAGGUUGGUCAAGCAGAGGAAAGCAGCACAGCACUGACAGUGGAUAAGUUGAUUUUGUUCAUUGCUUAUGUAAUUAAUUGUACAGAUCAAGUUAAACAAAAAACAGAGAAAAUUAAAAUAAUUGUGAAAGGAGCUGAAAGGUUUUUGGGUAUAGAUAAUAUAUCUUGGGAAAAUAUAAAAAAGACUGGA